AAUAGCCCGCCCUCAACGAAGCUGAGAGGGCGCUGAAACAUAUACACUGUUAUGCAAAUCACCAGCGGAGACGGCUGAGCGAUGGCCAAUCAUAUCGAGUGGUUCCCAUGACGAAUGUGACGCUUGCCACCCAAGGCUGGAGACUUUCUUCAGCAACGGGACUCCUGAAACAACCAGCAAACCAGGCUGUCGUCUUGUGAAACAGUGGAUAUAAAUAAUCUAGCUAAAGCAUUUACUGCAAAUGACAUGUACCAUUUUGCAAGCUUGCCCUUGCUGAUAUUUGCCAUGCAAUGCAGAUAUAAGUAACAUAGCUAGUUAAACCAAUUUCCUGCUUAUUGUGCAGUGGGGGAUACGGAUAUGUAGCCGAUCUGUGUAUGGACUCUAAGACGUUUGGUAUUGUAAUGAAACAGCAGGGAGCAGGUCUCGAACCCUCGACCUCCUAGCCCGAAGUUCAGCGCGCUAUCGACUAUACCGCAAAAGCAUGUUCGAGCGGCAGAGUCGAUAUCCGCGUUUAUAAACCCAGGGUCGUUACAGUAUACAUGUUAGUUCAGAACCUAGCUAUGAAUCUCAGCUGUCAGAGCCAGUUGUAUCAAAUUCAAAAACAGUUUGAAUGACAUUAAUGAAGCCUAUGUAUUGAGUAGAAUAUAACUUUGUGCCAAGGAUGCAAGUCGUAUAUACAUGUAGUUAUUACCAUGCAUGAGAUCCCCACAUUGUAGCCUGUACAUUUAAUAUAUUCACUGAUCAUGUAACUACCUUGGCAAAUAAAGGUGCAGUUCAGGAA